rnacentral:rRNA from 1 species
GACGACCGGCGAACGGGUGCGUAACGCGUAUAGAAUCUACCUCUUACUAAGGGAUAGCCCAGAGAAAUUUGGAUUAAUAUCUUAUAGUAUGUUGACUUGGCAUCAAGAUAACAUUAAAGGUUACGGUAAGAGAUGACUAUGCGUCCUAUUAGCUAGAUGGUGUGGUAACGGCACACCAUGGCGACGAUAGGUAGGGGCCCUGAGAGGGGGAUCCCCCACACUGGUACUGAGACACGGACCAGACUCCUACGGGAGGCAGCAGUGAGGAAUAUUGGACAAUGGAGGCAACUCUGAUCCAGCCAUGCCGCGUGCAGGAAGACUGCCCUAUGGGUUGUAAACUGCUUUUAUACAGGAAGAAACACUGCUACGUGUAGCAGCUUGACGGUACUGUAAGAAUAAGGAUCGGCUAACUCCGUGCCAGCCGCCGCGGUAAU